UUAUUGUGACAGCGGAGGGACAUUGCUGGAACGCGCUUCGGCGCACCCAGAAACCCUUUGUGAACUUAUACCUACUGUUGCCUCGGCGUCAGGCCGGCCUCCUCACCGAGGCCCCCCGGAGACGGGGAGCAGCCCGCCGGCGGCCAACUAAACUCUUGUUUCUAUAGUGAAUCUCUGAGUAAAAAAACAUAAAUGAAUCAAAACUUUCAACAACGGAUCUCUUGGUUCUGGCAUCGAUGAAGAACGCAGCGAAAUGCGAUAAGUAAUGUGAAUUGCAGAAUUCAGUGAAUCAUCGAAUCUUUGAACGCACAUUGCGCCCCCUGGUAUUCCGGGGGGCAUGCCUGUUCGAGCGUCAUUUCAACCCUCAAGCCUGGCUUGGUGAUGGGGCACUGCUUCGAGAGGAGCAGGCCCUGAAAUUCAGUGGCGAGCUCGCCAGGACCCCGAGCGUAGUAGUUAUAUCUCGCUCUGGAAGGCCCUGGCGGUGCCCUGCCGUUAAACCCCCAACUUCUGAAAAUUUGACCUCGGAUCAGGUAGGAAUACCCGCUGAACUUAAGCAUAUCAUA
rnacentral:rRNA from 1 species